UGGGGAAUAUUGCACAAUGGGCGCAAGCCUGAUGCAGCCAUGCCGCGUGUGUGAAGAAGGCCUUCGGGUUGUAAAGCACUUUCAGCGAGGAGGAAGGUGGUGAGCUUAAUACGCUCAUCAAUUGACGUUACUCGCAGAAGAAGCACCGGCUAACUCCGUGCCAGCAGCCGCGGUAAUACGGAGGGUGCAAGCGUUAAUCGGAAUUACUGGGCGUAAAGCGCACGCAGGCGGUUUGUUAAGUCAGAUGUGAAAUCCCCGGGCUCAACCUGGGAACUGCAUUUGAAACUGGCAAGCUAGAGUCUCGUAGAGGGGGGUAGAAUUCCAGGUGUAGCGGUGAAAUGCGUAGAGAUCUGGAGGAAUACCGGUGGCGAAGGCGGCCCCCUGGACGAAGACUGACGCUCAGGUGCGAAAGCGUGGGGCAGCAAACAGGAUUAGAUACCCUGGUAGUCCACGCUGUAAAACGAUGUCGAUUUUGGAGGUUGUGCCCUUGAGGCGUGGCUUCCGGAGCUAACGCGUUAAAUCGACCGCCUGGGGAGUACGGCCGCAAGGUUAAAACUUAAAUGAAUUGAC
rnacentral:rRNA from 1 species